rnacentral:rRNA from 1 species
CUUAAAUUGAAGAGUUUGAUCAUGGCUCAGAUUGAACGCUGGCGGCAGGCCUAACACAUGCAAGUCGAGCGGAAA